GAUGAACGCUGGCGGCGUGCUUAACACAUGCAAGUCGAGCGAGAAGUUUUGAAAAGAUUCUUCGGAUGAAAUUUAAAAUGGAAAGCGGCGGACGGGUGAGUAACGCGUAGGCAACCUGCCCCAUACAAAGGGAUAGCAUUUGGAAACGAAUAUUAAUACCUUAUGAAACUUAACUAGUGCAUGCUAGGUAGGUCAAAGAUUUAUCGGUAUGGGAUGGGCCUGCGUCUGAUUAGCUAGUUGGUGAGGUAACGGCUCACCAAGGCGACGAUCAGUAGCCGACCUGAGAGGGUGAACGGCCACAUUGGAACGGAGACACGGUCCAAACUCCUACGGGAGGCAGCAGUGGGGAAUAUUGCACAAUGGGGGAAACCCUGAUGCAGCAACGCCGCGUGAACGAGGAAGGCCUUUGGGUCGUAAAGUUCUGUUCUAGGUGAUGAAAACUGACAGUAACCUAGGAGAAAGCCCCGGCUAACUCCGUG
rnacentral:rRNA from 1 species